rnacentral:rRNA from 1 species
AUGGAGAAAGUCAAAGAACCCAAAGCAAAUUGGGACGGUGCUGCUCAUACAAUUUUUAUGAAUGCGUGCGUAGAGGAGGUUCGAGCAAAUAACUGGAACGGUGGUUAUUUGUCAGACAUAGGACAAGCUAAUUUGAAUAAAAAGUUCAAUGAACGCUCUGGAAGAAACUAUUCGACCCGGCAAAUGAAAAAUAGGUGGGGUGUAUGUAGAAGCGAGUACAACACAUGGAAGACAUUGAUCCAGCAAGCAUCUGGCUUAGGAAGAGAUGAGCAUACACACACUAUUGUAGCUACAAAUGAGUGGUGGGCGUUGGAGAUAAAGGCACAUCCAGAAGCUGCCAAGUUUCGCUAUGCUCCACUAGCGGAGGAGGAAAAAAUGUCAGAGGUUUUCGAUACUACUUGUGUCACAAAUGAGCAUGCGAGGGUGCCAACUCCCUCGUAUCAAGGUGAUCCCUCUCGAAUCAGUUUGGAGGAUGAGUCAGGGUGUGAUAGUUAUGAAGGCCAAGUUACCCCUGUUCAAAAUCAAGCCAAGGGUGGGAAGAAGAGGGCGUGUCCUUAUUCGCCAAGUCCAAAGAUGAAUGACAAGUGGGCAAGUGAGAAUGCUAAAAAUGAGGCUUUUGUACGCAUGGUGGACAUCUUUGGUGCAAGAGACAAGAGGGAUGCAGAGGAGAUUGCAAGGGAGAAGAGGAUGCAGAGGAGAGGGCAAGGGAGAAGAGGGAUGAAGAGGAAAGGGCAAGGGAGAGGAGGAAAGCAGAGAAGAGGGAUGUAG